rnacentral:rRNA from 1 species
GACAAUGGGCGCAAGCCUGAUCCAGCCAUUCCGCGUGAGUGAAGAAGGCCUUCGGGUUGUAAAGCUCUUUCGCAAGGGAAGAAAACUUACUCAAUAACACUGGGUGAGGCUGACGGUACCUUGAUAAGAAGCACCGGCUAACUACGUGCCAGCAGCCGCGGUAAUACGUAGGGUGCGAGCGUUAAUCGGAAUUACUGGGCGUAAAGCGUGCGCAGGCGGUUUUGUAAGUCAGAUGUGAAAGCCCCGGGCUCAACCUGGGAACUGCGUUUGAAACUACAAGGCUAG